rnacentral:lncRNA from 1 species
CAGCACUUUGGGAGGCCGAGGCAGGCGGAUCACUUGAGACUUUGUGCUCCAUCAGUUGAAGAGUAGGAUGAAGAAAAAAAAAAAAGGUUACAUGAAGAUGAUGGAAUUAUAAUCAGGCCUUGAAGAACGGAGACAAUUCCAGCCAUUGUUGUAGAUGUGGAGGCUGAAGGACAUUCCAAUUUGAAGGAACAGAAGAUGGGAUCUCACUCUGCUGCCCAGGCUGGUCUCCUCCUGCCUUGGCCUCCCAAAGUGUUGGAAUUACAAGUGUGAGCCACUGUGCCUGGCCCUGAAUAAGUUUCUUGACCCAGAGUUCCUGAAGAGGAGGAUGGGAACCUUGGAGGCUGUUUCUCCAGGCUGUGAUGGAGUCUUGUUGUGUUGCCCAGCCUGGCG